rnacentral:misc_RNA from 1 species
AUCAAAUCAGAAAAGUGCGUGUGACCGACGGUAACGCGAUCGCAAUUACCCAAACACCACCAAUCAGUUCUCUUCCUUCGCAACGGUACAAGCUCAGACUCUAUCGACGUUUGGGACUUCUCGAAGAGGAGCCUCCUGUGGUUCUUCUUCUUCUUCUUCUUCACAUUCGAAAUUCUCGUUGAUCUGCCUCUUCCGAUCCCUUAAUUCUGUGUGUUGAAAAUGUACGGUUUCGAGGCUCUAACUUUCAACAUUCACGGAGGCUACCUGGAGGCGAUCGUCAGGGGACACAGAUCAGGCCUUCUCACCGCCGCCGAUUAUAACAAUCUAUGCCAGUGUGAAACCCUUGAUGAUAUUAAGAUGCACCUCACUGCUACCGAGUACGGUCCCUACCUUCAGAACGAGCCUUCUCCAUUGCAUACCACUACAAUUGUGGAAAAAUGCACCCUUAAACUUGUUGAUGAGUACAAGCACAUGUUAUGUCAAGCAACGGAGCCCUUAUCCAUCUUCCUAGAGUAUUGCACAUAUGGCCACAUGAUUGACAAUGUUGUCUUGAUAGUCACUGGAACCUUGCAUGAGAGGGAUGUUCAGGAGCUACUAGAGAAAUGCCACCCUUUAGGCAUGUUUGACAGCAUUGCCACCCUUGCUGUUGCUCAGAAUAUGCGAGAACUUUAUAGAUUGGUGCUUGUGGACACACCAUUGGCUCCAUACUUCUCAGAGUGCAUCACAUCUGAGGAUUUGGAUGACAUGAAUAUUGAAAUUAUGAGGAAUACUCUUUACAAGGCAUAUCUUGAAGACUUUUACAGGUUUUGUCAGAAACUUGGGGGUGCCACAGCCGAGAUAAUGUCUGAUCUCCUUGCCUUUGAGGCUGAUAGAAGAGCUGUCAAUAUUACAAUAAAUAGGUAUUAUUCAUGCUUCUAGUUUUAUGCAUACGGGCUCCUCUUUUGAUGGGGGGAAAAAAGGAAGCACUGACACAUAAAAUUUUGAUUUGCAAUUUCUUUCUUUGAAUUAUAAUGAUUGUUCAAUUUUUUGUUCUUCUGAUUUUGUUGUGGAUCACUUUGUUUAGCAUUGGCACAGAGCUUACCAGGGAUGAUAGAAGAAAAUUAUACUCUAAUUUUGGCUUACUUUACCCCUAUGGGCAUGAAGAACUAGCUGUCUGUGAGGAUUUAGAUCAGGUUCGUGGUGUGAUGGAAAAAUAUCCUCCUUAUCAGUCUAUCUUUUCUAGAUUGUCCUAUGGUGAGAGCCAGCUGCUUGAUAAGGCAUUUUAUGAAGAGGAGGUGAAAAGGCUAUGCUUAUCUUUUGAGCAACAGUUCCAUUAUGCUGUCUUCUUCGCAUACAUGAGGUUGAGGGAGCAGGAGAUUAGGAAUCUGAUGUGGAUAUCAGAAUGCGUGGCUCAGAACCAGAAGUCUAGAGUUCAUGACAGUGUUGUCUUCAUAUUUUAACUGCUUUACACGCCAUUAGAAAUAAUUACCAGUUCUUUUGCAUAAUCUGCUGUAAAUUGCUCUUUCAUAGACAGUGUCGAUCAUUUUAAGUUGAGAUUGCCCAGCUGCACCAUUUUCAGGAUCUGUGUUAAAAAUAAGAUUUUAAAAUAUUUUUUUCUAUGUUUUGGGCGAUUAGUUUGUAUUCGGAUUCAUCAGAUUCCAAUAUAUUAUUCUUGUGGAGAUGAAAUGAUCUUGCUUGGAUCUUGAUUGCUGCAAUAAAA